GCCAGUGUGGUUUAGUGGCUUGAAUAUUGGAUUGCAACUCUGGAGAUCAGGGUUCGAAUUCCUGCUUGGCCA